rnacentral:rRNA from 1 species
CAGGAUGAACGCUAGCUACAGGCUUAACACAUGCAAGUCGAGGGCAGCAUUAUCGAAGCUUGCUUGAUAGAUGGCGACCGGCGCACGGGUGAGUAACGCGUAUCCAACCUUCCCAUCACUCAGGGAUAGCCCGCCGAAAGGCGAAUUAAUACCUGAUGGUCUCCUUCGCGGACAUCUAACGAGGAGUAAAGAUUCAUUGGUGAUGGAUGGGGAUGCGUCUGAUUAGGUAGUAGGCGGGGUAACGGCCCACCUAGCCUACGAUCAGUAGGGGUUCUGAGAGGAAGGUCCCCCACAUUGGAACUGAGACACGGUCCAAACUCCUACGGGAGGCAGCAGUGAGGAAUAUUGGUCAAUGGACGGAAGUCUGAACCAGCCAAGUAGCGUGCAGGAUGACGGCCCUAUGGGUUGUAAACUGCUUUUGUGCGGGAAUAAAGUAUGGGACGUGUCCCGUUUUGCAUGUACCGCACGAAUAAGGACCGGCUAAUUCCGUGCCAGCCGCGGC